rnacentral:rRNA from 1 species
CACGUAGGGGGCGAGCGUUGUCCGGAUUUAUUGGGCGUAAAGAGCUCGUAGGUGGCUCGGUAAGUCGGGUGUGAAAUUUCGAGGCUCAACCUCGAGACGCCACCUGAUACUGCUGUGGCUAGAGUCCGGUAGGGGAGCGUGGAAUUCCUGGUGUAGCGGUGAAAUGCGCAGAUAAUCAGGAGGAACACCGGUGGCGAAGGCGGGUCUCUGGGCCGAUACUGACGCUGAGGAGCGAAAGCGUGGGGAGCGAACAGG